rnacentral:tRNA from 6 species
AAAAUCCGUCGACUUUAUAAGUCGUGAGGGUUCAAGUCCCUCUAUCCC